GCCGUGUCCCUGGCGGAGGAUUUUCUGCAGCAGCGGAGACAGGAGGAGGAGAACUGGCGAGAGCGGGUGCCAAGGAUAUCCGAGAAAGCACCUGCUGCUUCUCCAGAGGCUGAGAAGACGGCAUCUGAUGCCUGGCAGACGCUGGUCUUCAGAGAGGUCAAAGAGGAGGGUGAGGAAGAUGCUAGCUCUGUGGCAGGUGAUGUGAGUUCUUGUGAGAAGGAGAAAAACCAGUUAGAAAACUGUGAGGGACUUCAAGCCUGCGAGAUGCUACCAGCAAGAGCC